AGAAGAACUUGUUCUUUUUGAACCAAAGAAGACGACAAAGAAAUCUAAAAAGGAUGUUAAAGAAGCUCCUAAAGCCACUGCCCCUCCCCCUGGAUUUGGUAUACGCCCACCACAGACCACCUCUACUCAUAAAAGAAGUGAAACGACUAAAAAGGAGGGAGGGGCUUCAAAGACUAAGUUUGUUCCUUUGCUAAGUGCUGAGGGUGAGUCCCAGUUGAGUAUAAAGUUCCCUGGGAGGUUUUUAUGUCAGUGUCUCGGACAGAAACACGAGCUGAUUAAUAAUUGCUUGGAAUGUGGAAGAAUAGUUUGUUCACAAGAGGGACCAGGUCCUUGCCUGUUCUGUGGUAAUGUUGUGUUCACCAAACAAGAAGAGAAGCUGUUACAGCCUGAUUCACACAGAGGAGA